rnacentral:rRNA from 1 species
UGAAAGCAUCUAAGCACGAAACUUGCCCCGAGAUGAGUUCUCCCUGAGACUUUAAGUCUCCUGAAGGAACGUUAAAGACGAUGACGUUGAUAGGCCGGGUGUGUAAGCGCAGCGAUGCGUUGAGCUAACCGGUACUAAUGAACCGUGAGGCUUAACCUUAC